ACGUUAUUUCGGGAAAUCAUGGAAAACUGAGACGAUCCGCACUACGUCCCUAGGUCCCUUUGUGUUCAUUAAGCUGUCACAGAACUGGUUAAAAGUGGCAUUUACAUCAGCUAGAACUAUCACAAUUGAUGCAUCAAUUUCUCCACUGGCUACUCCCAAGCAAUUUGAAUAAUUCAUUCAGGCAGCAAGUGUUUCCACCAAUAAAAUAAAAAGAAUUGAUUUCAUCCAGAAGAACUGUUUGAACUGUGGACUGUUUGAAAUGUUUUGCACCUGCUCAGAAAUCCCUUCACAACCUGCC